rnacentral:rRNA from 1 species
UACAGAGGUGGCAAGCGUUGUUCGGAAUUACUGGGCGUAAAGGGCGCGUAGGCGGCCAUCUAAGUCAGACGUGAAAUCCCCCGGCUUAACCUGGGAACUGCGUCUGAUACUGGACGGCUUGAGUAUGGGGAGAGGGAUGUAGAAUUCCAGGUGUAGCGGUGAAAUGCGUAGAUAUCGUAAGGAAGACCAGUGGCGAAGGCGGGUCUCUGGGACAGUCCUGACGCUGAGGCACGGAAGGUCA